rnacentral:lncRNA from 1 species
GCGGCUAGCCAGCACUGAGAGCAGGCGCCUGAGGCGACAGAGCGGCGGCAACUGGCCGGGAGUCCGGGCCCUGUGAGGGGACCGUGAAGGGAAGGUCUGGGGCACGGUUGCUCUUGGUGGCGGCGCGGCCGAGUCCAAACUGCCCAGGUCGCUGCUGCUUUCAGUCUAGGAGGCGUACGGUCGCUUGGGGCUGCCGCCAUCCCGAGGGCGGGGCUCCUGGGAAUUGGGUAUCUGGACCGCCGCGGUCUCUUCCAACCGCCGCCCGCACCUGGUAGUGACAUCGUCCAGCCCGUGACCAUGUUCGACAAGACGCGGCUGCCGUACGUGGUCCUCGAUGUGAUUUGCGUGUUGCUGGAUGAUUACUGGAGAAACUCUGUCUGUUUACUUUAAUGUCUUGCAUUCAAAUUCCUUUGUCAGCAAUCACUAUAUAGCCACCAUUUACAAAGCCGUUGGAGCCUUUUUGUUUGGAGCCUCAGCCAGUCAGUCCCUGACUGACAUUGCUAAGUACUCUAUAGGCAGACUGCGGCCUCACUUCCUGGCUGUCUGUAACCCAGACUGGUCAAAAAUCAACUGCAGCGAUGGCUACAUUGAGAACUUCGUAUGUCAAGGGAAUGAACAGAAGGUCAGGGAAGGCAGGUUGUCCUUCUACUCGGGGCACUCCUCAUUCUCUAUGUACUGCAUGCUGUUUGUCGCACUUUAUCUUCAAGCCAGGAUGAAGGGAGAUUGGGCAAGACUCUUACGACCCAUGCUACAGUUUGGGCUUG